AGCGAACGCUGGCGGCAUGCCUAACACAUGCAAGUCUCGACGGGCGGGGCUUUUGGGCUCUGUCGAGUGGCGGGACGGGUGAGGAGCGCGUAGGAACGUAUCCAGGGGUGGGGGACAACCGCGGGAAACUGCGGCUAAUACCGCAUGGGGCCUUGUGGGGAGACCCGAAAGGGGGGAUCCGGGGCCAAAGGCGAGGGCGACCUCGCCGCCGGCUGGAGCGGCCUGCGUCCGAUUAGCUAGUUGGUGGGGUGACGGCCCACCAAGGCUGUGAUCGGUAGCUGGUCUGAGAGGAUG
rnacentral:rRNA from 1 species